CCCCCCGUCGGGUGCACGCCUCCUGGCAAAGGAGGGGCGGAGCGCAUUUCUGCUGAGAUCUCCCUGUAGCUCUUAACUGGCUGGGAGCUGGUUGGGCCUGCUGGUUACGGACCGCUGCCCCGCGGGCGUCUGAGUUAGCCGCGGGUAGCCUUGAAAAAAAUCAAACAGAAAGGAAGACGUGCACUGUUGAAGGCUAAGGCCCUCAAAGAGAGAUCUGAGCAAUGCAUUUUGCACUGUCAUGCUGCUAAAUGAGGAAAAAAGGAAAUUUGAACAUAGACACUUAUAGAAGGAAGACCCUGUGAAGACAGAGGGAGAAGAUAGCCAUCUAUAAGCAAAGAGAAACCAUCCCUGUCAACACCUUGAGGUGCUCCGCUCACCUUAACUUCAGCCUCUGAGGCCAAGAGACUUGGAAGAAACCGACCCUGUGGACAACUUGAUCUCAGACUUCUAGUUUCCGGAACUAUGAGGAGGAUUUAUACCAUGAAGCAGAGAAUCCCUGAAACAAACAAGACAGACACACACUACAGCUGACAUGCAGUGCUGUCAAGAGCACCUGUACACAGCCAAUGGUUGACUCAGCAAUGGUCAGAGCCAAAAGAUCUUCUUCCAGAGACUUGAAGAUAUUAUGGAAGAACUUCACAGUGGAGAGCCCGGACUGGUACUUGGAAUAAACAGAUAUCAAAGCCUAACAGCUGAAUUUCUUCAAGCAGUGGCCCCUGGGCUUCCCUAAUAUAGGAUCCUAAUGGCUCAUCCUACUUCCUUCAAGGUACCUCUACCGGGAGAGAUAGUGACAAGUACAUCACAAAGGAGAGAGAUAGCCUAUGGAAAUCAGAAUAUUGUGGUGGAGCAGGAGGACCGUAGGCUUGCCUGGCCCCACUGAUACAACCAGAUAACUAUCAAAUCAUCCUAAAUACCCCAGAAAUAGACCUGAAGAUUGGCAGAACAAACUUCACAGCUAAAGGUAGAGAAGAGGCUACAAUGAACAAGGGUUUGGUGGUGUGCAGAUGUCAGGUCUGAGACAUCCUCGGCCACGUUAUUACCAUGAGCAAAGCCAGACUGUACAUGAAGCAAAGCCAGAGAAGGCUUCUUUUCUUCCUUCGGGUAAUUUGAGAGACUUGAUUGUUCCUCUUUUCCUUUUUGACAUUUUGAGGAUGACCCAUGGUCGUUUUUAUCUCUUUGACAAAUUCUUGUAAUCUCUGCUUUAUAAGGAUUCAAUCCCCAUCUCCCUCCACUCAAGCAGGUUGGUUUAAUCAGAGUAAUUCAUUCGCCGAGGACCUGAGUAGCCUGGGUGGUUUUUGUCUGUUUGUUUGUUUUUGUUUUUUGUUUUUUUUUAAUAAAAGAUAAAACUAAUUCAAUCCACAUAACUGACCUGAAGUACUGAGUUGACAUUUUAAUUUUAGAAGAAAGUUGGAUCUGUUACAGGUUUAGGAAAUAAGGUUACAGUUGGGGAUUUCUGGAUUCUGACAACCCAAGACAUUCAGAUCUAUUCAAGGCAAGUAAUACUGCUUUUUGAAUAAGUUUAUCAUUUUUUUUCUUUUCCCCAAUUCAGUUUUAGCCACGUAUUUAACCUAGCCACAGGACUUGUCUCAGGUAGAAAAUGGCUGCUACUUUAGGGAUGUACCUUUUUCCUAUUUUUGUUCUUGGGAGUUCUACCUCAGAAGACAUUGUGCAAAAGGUCCUGAAGUUGAAAGGAGAGGAGGUAGGAAGGAAGAGGAGAAAAGGAAUCCCUUGAGGGCAUUUAAUAGAAAUAUUUCCUUGGUUCUCCAUUUCUGUCAUAGACUGGUGCUCUCCAUGAAAACAGCACAGACUGAUAAGAAAUGGAACGUCAUGAAAUCAUCUUCUCUGUUGUCUUUUGUAGAGAAGUUAGAGGUCCUUCCUUGUCUUCUCCAUCCUUUUUCUACUGUUUUGUUACAAAAUUGUUUCAACAAAAAAGUAAAAUUUUCUCUCCUCUUCCCUUUUAUUUGAUAUUCAGCUUAAGUAGGAUAUGUCUUGCUCCUGGAACAUGGAUGUCCAUUUAACAAUUCAAUUUUGUCUUCAUUUCAGGGAAAUUUUCUUCUAUUUUAUCUAUGUAUCAACAGCUUAAUUUGAUAGGCUUUUUACUUCAAUUCCAAUAACAAUUAUCUUUAUAUUGCAUCAUCGCUGUUUUAUGGCUUAACUUUAUCUAAUUGUAUUCAUCUCUUCUUUCAUCAGAAUUAUCAGGAUGUAUCAAAUCUUUCUGUACCAUGGUGUGAGAUAAUAGAAAAUAUAUACAUUGGUCUCUGCCUUUGGAUCCUGGCAUAGAGCUCCUAAAACUCUUGUAAAUUCCUAAGUGACGGGAGCAGUAGGAGCAUCUUUUGUUCUAAUGAGGGACUCUGAGUAGGCUCCUGGAUGGAGGCUGGUCACCAGAAAGACCAAGCCAUGAUUAGAAGCUUGGAAUUUUCAGCUCUAUUGCCCCUUCUUUAGAGAAGGAAGAGAGACUAGAAAUGUAAUUAAUUGAUCAUGCCUGCAUAAUGAAGCCUCCACAAAAUUCCAAAAGUAUGGGGUUCAAAGAGCUUCCAGGUGGGUGAGCACUUCUAUAUAUUGGAAGAGUGACGCACUCCAACCCUUGGGACCCUCUCAGACAUUGCCCUAUAUGUCUCUUCAUCUGUCUGUUCAUCUGUAUCCUUUAUCAUAUCCUUUAAUAGACUGGUAAAUGUGUUUUCCUGAGUUUUGUGAGCUGUUCUAGCAAAUAAUUGAACCUAAGACACAGGAAGUAAUAGGAACCUCCAAUUUAUAGCCAAUUCAGAUAGAAGUUGUGGUUAACCUGGGGACCUACAACUUGUGAUUGGUGUCUAAAGUGAGGGGAGGCAGUCUUGUGGGACCGAACUUUUAAACUGGGGGUUCUGACUCUAUUUCCAAGUAGAUAGUGUCAGAAUUGAGUUAAAUUGUAGGACACUCAACUGGUGUUGAAGAAUUGCUUGGUGUGAGGAAAAAAACACCACACAUUUGAUAACUAGAAGUAUCUAAAGUGUUCUAUAUGAGUAGUAAAGGAGACACACAGAAGAAAUGUAGGGUUUUUUUUUUGUUUUACUUUAAUGUUUUUAUUUAUUUUUGAAGGAGAGACAGAGCGAAUGUGAGGGG